UGGGUCGACCAGGCGGCCGCGUUGGAGGUGCCCACGGGCUGCUCCACCGAGGAACGUCCGGGCUCCGCAGGGCAGGGUGGUGGGUAACGCCCACUCGGGGUAACCCGCAGGCCAGUGCCACAGAAAAGAGACCGCUUCCCUUUCCGGUCCAGGCCGGAGGGAAGUAAGGGUGAAAAGGCGGUGUAAGAGACCACCAGCGCAUCGGGUGACCGAUGCGGCUCGGUAAACCCCACCCGGAGCAAGGCCAGACAGUGCGCGUGAUCAGGGCUGCCCGCCCGAGUGCACGGGUAGGCCGCUGGAGGGCGUCGGCAACGGCGUUCGUAGAUGGAUGGCCGCCACUUGCACGAUGGCGACGUCGUGCGAUGACAGAACCCGGCGUAUCGGUCGACCCAUCCC
rfam:Arthrobacter agilis strain 4042 Contig27, whole genome shotgun sequence.